GCUCUUAUUAGCUUAAUGGUAGAGCAAAAUACUUCUAAUAUUUGGGUUCUAGUUCAAAUCUAGGGUAGGAGCU
rfam:Glarea lozoyensis 74030 mitochondrion, complete genome.